CAUGCAAGUCGAACGUGAAAGAGGGGGCAACUCCUCGAGUAAAGUGGCGUACGGGUGAGUAACGCGUAGGUAAUCUACCCUAGAGUCCGGAAUAACCUGCCGAAAGGCGGGCUAAUACGGGAUAGAGCGAUGGAAUCCGUAAUUGGAUUUUUCGGGAAAGGGAGGGAGCAAUCCCCCUCGCUUUAGGAUGAGCCUGCGUCUCAUUAGCUAGUUGGUGGGGUAACGGCCCACCAAGGCAGUGAUGGGUAGCUGGUCUGAGAGGAUGAUCAGCCACACUGGAACUGAAACACGGUCCAGACUCCUACGGGAGGCAGCAGUGGGGAAUAUUGGACAAUGGGCGCAAGCCUGAUCCAGCAAUGCCGCGUGAGUGAUGAAGGCCUUAGGGUUGUAAAGCUCUUUCGGCGGGGAAGAUGAUGACGGUACCCGCAGAAGAAGCCCCGGCUAACUUCGUGCCAGCAGCCGCGGUAAUACGAAGGCAGCGAGCGUUGUUCGGAGUUACUGGGCGUAAAGAGUGUGUAGGUGGUUCUCUAAGUUCGGUGUGAAAUCUCCCGGCUUAACUGGGAGGGUGCGCCGAAAACUGGAGGGCUUGAGUGUGGGAGAGGAAAGCGGAAUUCCUGGUGUAGCGGUGAAAUGCGUAGAUAUGCGGAGGAACACCGAUGGCGAAGGCAAUCCCCUGGGCCUGCACUGACGCUCAUGCACGAAAGCGUGGGGAGCAAACAGGAUUAGAUACCCUGGUAGUCCACGCCCUAAACGAUGUCAACUGGUUGUUGGGUCUUCACUGACUCAGUAACGAAGCUAACGCGUGAAGUUGACCGCCUGGGGAGUACGGCCGCAAGGUUGAAACUCAAAUGAAUUGACGGGG
rnacentral:rRNA from 1 species